rnacentral:siRNA from 1 species
UAUCGGGACCUCUUCAUCAAC